rnacentral:rRNA from 1 species
GACGAACGCUGGCGGCGUGCUUAACACAUGCAAGUCGAACGCUGAAGCCCAGCUUGCUGGGUGGAUGAGUGGCGAACGGGUGAGUAACACGUGAGUAACCUGCCCUUCACUUCAGGAUAACUCCGGGAAACCGGUGCUAAUACUGGAUAUGACUCCUGCCUGCAUGGGUGGGGGUGGAAAGAUUUAUCGGUGGUGGAUGGACUCGCGGCCUAUCAGCUUGUUGGUGGGGUAAUGGCCUACCAAGGCGACGACGGGUAGCCGGCCUGAGAGGGUGACCGGCCACACUGGGACUGAGACACGGCCCAGACUCCUACGGGAGGCAGCAGUGGGGAAUAUUGCACAAUGGGCGAAAGCUUGAUGCAGCGACGCCGCGUGCGGGAUGACGGCCUUCGGGUUGUAAACCGCUUUCAGCUCUGACGAAGCUUUUGUGACGGUAGGAGCAGAAGAAGCACCGGCUAACUACGUGCCAGCAGCCGCGGUAAAAC